rnacentral:rRNA from 1 species
GACGUAGGGCGCGAGCGUUGUCCGGAUUUAUUGGGCGUAAAGAGCUCGUAGGCGGCUUGUCGCGUCGACUGUGAAAACCCGAGGCUCAACUUCGGGCUUGCAGUCGAUACGGGCAGGCUAGAGUUCGGUAGGGGAGGACUGGAAUUCCGUGGUGUAGCGGUGAAAUGCGCAGAUAUCAGGAGGAACACCGAUGGCGAAGGCAGGUCUCUGGGCCGAUACUGACGCUGAGGAGCGAAAGCGUGGGGAGCGAACAGG